rnacentral:rRNA from 1 species
GAUGAACGCUGGCGGCGUGCCUAAUACAUGCAAGUCGAGCGAACGGACGAGAAGCUUGCUUAUCUGAUGUUAGCGGCGGACGGGUGAGUAACACGUGGAUAACCUACCUAUAAGACUGGGAUAACUUCGGGAAACCGUAGCUAAUACCGGAUAAUAUUUUGAACCGCAUGGUUCAAAAGUGAAAGACGGUCUUGCUGUCACUUAUAGAUGGAUCCGCGCUGCAUUAGCUAGUUGGUAAGGUAACGGCUUACCAAGGCAACGAUGCAUAGCCGACCUGAGAGGGUGAUCGGCCACACUGGAACUGAGACACGGUCCAGACUCCUACGGGAGGCAGCAGUAGGGAAUCUUCCGCAAUGGGCGAAAGCCUGACGGAGCAACGCCGCGUGAGUGAUGAAGGUCUUCGGAUCGUAAAACUCUGUUAUUAGGGAAGAACAUAUGUGUAAGUAACUGUGCACAUCUUGACGGUACCUAAUCAGAAAGCCACAGCUAACUACGUG